rnacentral:rRNA from 1 species
GUGCCAGCCGCCGCGGUAAUACGUAGGUGGCAAGCGUUAUCCGGAAUUAUUGGGCGUAAAGCGCGCGUAGGCGGUUUUUUAAGUCUGAUGUGAAAGCCCACGGCUCAACCGUGGAGGGUCAUUGGAAACUGGAAAACUUGAGUGCGGAAGAGGAAAGUGGAAUUCCAUGUGUAGCGGUGAAAUGCGCAGAGAUAUGGAGGAACACCAGUGGCGAAGGCGACUUUCUGGUCUGUAACUGACGCUGAUGUGCGAAAGCGUGGGGAUCAAACAGGAUUAGAUACCCUG